GGGGGAGGGAGAGAGUUACACAUUAGAGUGCUGGAGUGGAAAAGAUAAAGAUGGGUUGAUGCUGUUAGCCGGUUGACAGUGAGAGAGGGGUGCAGAGCUGUGCUGAUGAAGGACAGAUGGAGGAAGAUUGGACUGUGAUGGGUGAAGAUGGAAAGCAGAAAAAAAGAGAAACUCUUCUCACUAGAUGGGCAGGAAAAUGAGGCUGUGAUACUAAGGGUUGAGGGUUGUGAUAGGCUGAAUGUGAUACUGAGGGUUGAGGGUUGUGAUAGGCUGAAUGUGAUUCUGAGGGUUGUGAUAGGCUGAAUGUGAUUCUGAGGGUUGUGAUAGGCUGAAUGUGAUACUGAGGGUUGAGGGUUGUGAUAGGCUGAAUGUGAUACUGAGGGUUAAGGGUUGUGAUAGGCUGAAUGUGAUACUGAGGGUUAAGGGUUGUGAUAGGCUGAAUGUGAUACUGAGGGUUAAGGGUUGUGAUAGGCUGAAUGUGAUACUGAGGGUUGUGAUAGG
ensembl:lncRNA